rnacentral:pre_miRNA from 1 species
UGUGUAUUCCUGAUGCUCAUUCCGUUCGGCGAGAAUGCGCAUCAGGAAUACACACA